AGCUUUAUAUUCAAUAAUGAUAUUAAAUUGCAAGUUUAAAGGUGGAAAGAUCCUAAGGCUU
rnacentral:tRNA from 1 species